UACGUAGGGGGCAAGCGUUAUCCGGAUUUACUGGGUGUAAAGGGGGCGCAGACGGCGAUGCAAGCCAGGAGUGAAAGCCCGGGGCCCAACCCCGGGACUGCUCUUGGAACUGCGUGGCUGGAGUGCAGGAGGGGCAGGCGGAAUUCCUGGUGUAGCGGUGGAAUGCGUAGAUAUCAGGAGGAACACCGGUGGCGGAGGCGGCCUGCUGGACUGCAACUGACGUUGAGGCCCGAAAGCGUGGGGAGCAAACAGG
rnacentral:rRNA from 1 species